rnacentral:rRNA from 1 species
CCUUGACAUCCAGAGAACUUAGCAGAGAUGCUUUGGUGCCUUCGGGAACUCUGAGACAGGUGCUGCAUGGCUGUCGUCAGCUCGUGUUGUGAAGUGUUGGGUUAAGUCCGCAACGAGCGCAACCCUUAUCCUUUGUUGCCAGCGGUUCGGCCGGGAACUCAAAGGAGACUGCCGGUGAUAAACCGGAGGAAGGUGGGGAUGACGUCAAGUCAUCAUGGCCCUUACGGCCAGGGCUACACACGUGCUACAAUGGCGCAUACAAAGAGAAGCGACCUCGCGAGAGCAAGCGGACCUCAUAAAGUGCGUCGUAGUCCGGAUUGGAGUCUGCAACUCGACUCCAUGAAGUCGGAAUCGCUAGUAAUCGUAGAUCAGAAUGCUACGGUGAAUACGUUCCCGGGCCUUGUACACACCGCCCGUCACACCAUGGGAGUGGGUUGCAAAAGAAGUAGGUAGCUUAACCUUCGGGAGGGCGCUUACCACUUUGUGAUUCAUGACUGGGGUGAAGUCGUAACAAGGUAGGCGUAGACGU